rnacentral:lncRNA from 1 species
ACAGAUAAAGGCGCAAAUCAUGACGAUUCAACCUCAGAAUCAACAAAAUAUAAUUUAUAAAGCCAUUAAAGAGUAAACAAUUGAACGAAUAAGUACAUACAAUUUCAUAUGAUGCAUCUUCAACAAAAAUAAACAAAUCUCAGAGUAACACACUCAUCUACCAUAACUUAAAACUGAAAAUUCCAUAAAUAUAUUCAUAAAUCACAUAUAGACAAAUAUCAGAGAAACACUAACGACUAUGUUAUAACUUCAACUGGAAAUCCUAUGAACAUACAAAUCACAUACUUUCAACAUAAAACAAAGACAAAUCUAUGACGAUUUAGCCUCAACUUAAACCGAAAGUCACAUAAAUAUAUAAAUCUCAUAUCAUCAACAUGAUGGAACAAAUCUAAGAGACAUACACACUAGUUUCCACAAAUUACUAACAAAACACAAAUCUAUUCCAGAUUUUCGCUUCAAUAUCAUACAAUCUGAAACAAAAUUCAAUCUCAUAUAAUCAACAUGAUGAUCAAAUCUAAGAGAAAUAGAUACUAAUUUUCACAUAUCAGUAACAAACCACAAAUCUAUUACCAGAUUUUCUCAUCGACCUAAAACAAAAUUCAAUCUCAUUACAUCAACAUGCAAUAAACAAAUCUUAGAGAAAUACAUACUAGUUUUCACAAAUUAGUAUCAAAACACAAAUCUAUAACCAGAUUUUCGCAUCAAUAUCAUAUAAUAUGAAACAAAAACUCAACAAAAUGAAAAGAAAUACAUUAGAUCUAACCUUUUCUGAGCUUUGCUAAAACCCUGGCUGCGUAUAGAGAAUAACAACACAAACCACAAGUAGGGUUUCAAGCGAGGUAUGAAGGGACUUUUUAUAGUGGUGAGAGCACAUCAGCUAGGGCUUUCUGUGCG